CUGCUCAAUGAAUAAAUUUUAAAUAGCCGCAGUAUAAAUAACUGUACAAAGGUAGCAUAAUAAUUUGUUUUUUAAUUAAAAACUAGAAUGAAUGAUUAAAUGAAAUAUAAACUGUAUCAAAUUUAAAAAAUAAAUUUAUUAUUUAAAUAAAAAAAUUUAAAUAAAUUUUAAAGACGAGAAGACCCUAUAGAAUUUUAAUAAUAAUUUAAUUUAAUUAAAAUAAAUUAUUAUAUUAAUUGGGGAAAUUUUAAAAUUUUAAAAAUUUUUAAUUAAAAAAACAUAAAUUUUUGAAUAUUUAUUAUUUAUUAAAAAAAUAAAUUAAUUACCUUAGGGAUAACAGCAUAAUUUUUUUAAAAAG
rnacentral:rRNA from 1 species